UCCGGAUGUUGGAUCACUAUUGCUAGAUGGUUACAUCGAUUAGUUCAGGAAGGUGUUCCUGUGCUACUGACUUAGAUUCAAACCUAUGGAAUUAUACUCAAAAGAAGUUUCUGACUGAUCAUGUAGUUGAUCAACGAUUAAGAAUCGUCCAAGGAUUUAAUUGUUAAUUUGAUUGAUGAUUAAUCUUAUACAAAAAUUAUAAUAAAUUAAUUUAUCAAGUGUUAAUAAAUUAAUGAAUAA
rnacentral:lncRNA from 1 species